rnacentral:rRNA from 1 species
UACGUAGGGUGCGAGCGUUAAUCGGAAUUACUGGGCGUAAAGCGUGCGCAGGCGGUCAUGCAAGGCAGAUGUGAAAUCCCCGGGCUCAACCUGGGAACUGCAUUUGUGACUGCAUGACUAGAGUACGGUAGAGGGGGAUGGAAUUCCGCGUGUAGCAGUGAAAUGCGUAGAUAUGCGGAGGAACACCGAUGGCGAAGGCAAUCCCCUGGACCUGUACUGACGCUCAUGCACGAAAGCGUGGGGAGCAAACAGG